UCGAGCGGUAACAUUUCAAAAGCUUGCUUUUGAAGAUGACGAGCGGCGGACGGGUGAGUAAUGCCUGGGAAUUUGCCCAUUUGUGGGGGAUAACAGUUGGAAACGACUGCUAAUACCGCAUACGCCCUACGGGGGAAAGCAGGGGAACUUCGGUCCUUGCGCUGAUGGAUAAGCCCAGGUGGGAUUAGCUAGUAGGUGAGGUAAUGGCUCACCUAGGCAACGAUCCCUAGCUGGUCUGAGAGGAUGAUCAGCCACACUGGGACUGAGACACGGCCCAGACUCCUACGGGAGGCAGCAGUGGGGAAUAUUGCACAAUGGGGGAAACCCUGAUGCAGCCAUGCCGCGUGUGUGAAGAAGGCCUUCGGGUUGUAAAGCACUUUCAGCGAGGAGGAAAGGUUAGUAGUUAAUACCUGCUAGCUGUGACGUUACUCGCAGAAGAAGCACCGGCUAACUCCGUGCCAGCAGCCGCGGUAAUACGGAGGGUGCGAGCGUUAAUCGGAAUUACUGGGCGUAAAGCGUGCGCAGGCGGUUUGUUAAGCGAGAUGUGAAAGCCCCGGGCUCAACCUGGGAACCGCAUUUCGAACUGGCAAACUAGAGUCUUGUAGAGGGGGGUAGAAUUCCAGUGUAGCGGUGAAAUGCGUAGAGAUCUGGAGGAAUACCGGUGGCGAA
rnacentral:rRNA from 1 species